UACGGGGGGAGCAAGCGUUGUUCGGAUUUACUGGGCGUAAAGGGCGCGUAGGCGGCCACUGCAAGUCGGUUGUGAAAUCUCCGGGCUUAACCCGGAAAGGUCAAUCGAUACUGCAGGGCUAGAGUGCGGAAGGGGCAACUGGAAUUCUCGGUGUAGCGGUGAAAUGCGUAGAUAUCGAGAGGAACACCUGCGGCGAAGGCGGGUUGCUGGGCCGACACUGACGCUGACAGCGCGAAAGCUAGGGGGGCGAACGGG
rnacentral:rRNA from 1 species